rnacentral:rRNA from 1 species
GUAGGGAAUUUUCGUCAAUGGGGGGAACCCUGAACGAGCAAUGCCGCGUGAGUGAAGAAGGUCUUCGGAUCGUAAAGCUCUGUUGUAAGAGAAAAACGGAUCAUGUAGGGAAUGACAUGAUAGUGAUGGUAUCUUACCAGAAAGCCACGGCUAACUACGUGCCAGCAGCCGCGGUAAUACGUAGGUGGCAAGCGUUAUCCGGAAUGAUUGGGCGUAAAGGGUGCGUAGGUGGUACAUUAAGUCUGAAGUAAAAGGCAGCAGCUCAACUGCUGUUCGCUUUGGAAACUGGUGAACUAGAGUGCAGGAGAGGGCGAUGGAAUUCCAUGUGUAGCGGUAAAAUGCGUAGAUAUAUGGAGGAACACCAGUGGCGAAGGCGGUCGCCUGGCCUGUAACUGACACUGAGGCACGAAAGCGUGGGGAGCAAAUAGGAUUAGAUACCCCAGUAGUCC